GAUGAAGAACGUAGCGAAAUGCGAUAAGUAAUGCGAAUUGCAGAAUUCCAGUGAGUCAUCGAAUCUUUGAACGCACAUUGCGCCCUUUGGUAUUCCGAAGGGCAUGCCUGUUCGAGCGUCAUUAUCACCCCUCAAGCCCUCGGCUUGGUGUUGGACGGUUUGGUGGAGGCCCCUCGGGGGCUCCUGCCCCUCCCAAAGACAAUGACGGCGGCCUCGUUGGACCCCCGGUACACUGAGUUCUUCACGGGACACGUAUCGGACACAUGGGUUUACGGGACACGGUCUGCCUCCCCUCAGGGAGAAUCUUUCUAAGGUUGACCUCGGAUCAGGUAGGGAUACCCGCUGAACUUAAGCAUAUCAAUAAGCGGAGGA
rnacentral:misc_RNA from 1 species